rnacentral:rRNA from 1 species
AUUGAACGCUGGCGGCAGGCCUAACACAUGCAAGUCGAACGGUAACAGGAAACAGCUUGCUGUUUCGCUGACGAGUGGCGGACGGGUAAGUAAUGUCUGGGAAACUGCCUGAUGGAGGGGGAUAACUACUGGAAACGGUAGCUAAUACCGCAUAACGUCGCAAGACCAAAGAGGGGGACCCUCGGGCCUCUUGCCAUCGGAUGUGCCCAGAUGGGAUUAGCUUGUUGGUGGGGUAACGGCUCACCAAGGCGACGAUCCCUAGCUGGUCUGAGAGGAUGACCAGCCACACUGGAACUGAGACACGGUCCAGACUCCUACGGGAGGCAGCAGUGGGGAAUAUUGCACAAUGGGCGCAAGCCUGAUGCAGCCAUGCCGCGUGUAUGAAGAAGGCCUUCGGGUUGUAAAGUACUUUCAGCGGGGAGGAAGGGAGUAAAGUUAAUACCUUUGCUCAUUGACGUUACCCGCAGAAGAAGCACCGGCUAACUCCGUG